GGUGAACCCUGGCCUCGUCCCUAAUACAUGCAAGUCGAGCGAACAGACUAUGUGCUUUCUCCUCUGUCGUUAGCGGCGGACGGGUAGGUAACGCCUUGAUAACCUACCUUUAAUACUGGAAUUACUUCGGGACAGCGGAUCGAAGACCGGAUAAUUUAUGUACUCUCUUGGUUCAGUAUUGGAUGACGGUUCUGCUGUCGCUUGUGGAUGGAUCCGCGCCGCAUUAUCUAGUUGCAAAGGUAACGGGUUACCAAGGCAACGAUGCGUAGCCGACCUGAGAGGGUGAUCGGCCACACUGGCACUGAGACACGGUCCAGACUCCUACGGGAGGCAGCAGUAGGCAAUCUUCCGCAAUGGGCGAAAGCCUGACGGAGCAACGCCGCGUGAGUGAUGAAGGUCUUCGGACCGUAAACCUCUGUUAUUAGGGACGAACAAAUGUGUAUGUAACUAUGCCCGUCUUGACGGUACCUAAUCAGAAAGCACCGGCUAACUACGUG
rnacentral:rRNA from 1 species